AACGCGAAGAACCUUACCUGGGUUUGACAUCCGCUGACCGCCUAUGAAAGUAGGUUUCCCCGCAAGGGGCAGCGAGACAGGUGCUGCAUGGCUGUCGUCAGCUCGUGUCGUGAGAUGUUGGGUUAAGUCCCGCAACGAGCGCAACCCUUAUUUCUAGUUGCCAUCGGGUCAAGCUGGGCACUCUAGAGAGACUGCCGGUGACAAACCGGAGGAAGGCGGGGAUGACGUCAAGUCCUCAUGGCCUUUAUACCCAGGGCUACACACGUGCUACAAUGGCCGGUACAAAGGGUUGCGAACCCGCGAGGGGGAGCCAAUCCCAAAAAGCCGGUCCCAGUUCAGAUUGAAGUCUGCAACUCGACUUCAUGAAGCUGGAAUUGCUAGUAAUCGCGGAUCAGCACGCCGCGGUGAAUACGUUCCCGGGCCUUGUACACACCGCGAGC
rnacentral:rRNA from 1 species